rnacentral:misc_RNA from 1 species
GAUUGAAGAACGCAGCGAAAUGCGAUACGUAAUGUGAAUUGCAAAUUCAGUGAAUCAUCGAGUCUUUGAACGCACAUUGCGCCCCCUGGUAUUCCGGGGGGCAUGCCUGUCCGAGCGUCAUUGCUGCCCUCAAGCACGGCUUGUGUGUUGGGCCCCGUCCUCCGAUCCCGGGGGACGGGCCCGAAAGGCAGCGGCGGCACCGCGUCCGGUCCUCGAGCGUAUGGGGCUUUGUCACCCGCUCUGUAGGCCCGGCCGGCGCUUGCCGAUCAACCCAAAUUUUUAUCCAGGUUGACCUCGGAUCAGGUAGGGAUACCCGCUGAACUUAAGCAUAUCAAUAAGCGGAGGA